AUACGGAGGGUGCAAGCGUUAAUCGGAAUUACUGGGCGUAAAGCGUACGUAGGCGGUUCGUUAAGUUAGGUGUGAAAGCCCCGGGCUUAACCUGGGAACUGCAUUUAAAACUGGCGAACUAGAGUUGAGUAGAGGGGAGUGGAAUUUCAGGUGUAGCGGUGAAAUGCGUAGAGAUCUGAAGGAACACCAGUGGCGAAGGCGACUCCCUGGACUCGAACUGACGCUGAGGUACGAAAGCGUGGGUAGCAAACGGGAUUAGAUACCCUAGUAGUCC
rnacentral:rRNA from 1 species